AUAAGAUGGAGCCAGCUAGGAAGAGGAGGAUUUCCCCUGUGUGGGGACACUUUGAUUCUAAAGCUGUUCUGGCAUCACCAGGCCUUGCAUGAGAAUACGGAGGAAACUGGACUUUCACCAAGCCAUGGUGAGUCAUUACAUUAUUACAAAUGCACCAACAGAAUUUUUCCCUGUUCACUUUUGUUCACGGUGCAAAUAAAGACAGGUAACAGACACUGUAUUUAUUGUCAUGUCAAGCUCGAACAGGACCCAAACACAGACUGGAUUGGUGGGAAGAAUAACGAAUAGUUUAUUUACGUAGAUCCAAAAUAACGAGAAGACACUAGUAGUCCGAGACGUUCUGGUUUCUGGGGCUGGGGUUUGGUGUGGAGGAAUCCGGCAGGCUGACCGACGGUGGUCUCAGGCGAAGUCCUGGCUCGUAACUAUCCGGCAGGGACUGGAUCCCCGGACGGCUCCUAAAUACCCCCCUGAUCGGGAACUGGAGCCAGGUGUGUAAUUGGCAGCAGCUGAGCGUCCUCAAGGUCCACGGCCGUUGUCAUCACUACUGGAAAAACGUCAACAGACGGCCGCGCACAACAACAACUUGAUCACGGCGUGGCUGUCGGGACUAUUAUUCUCUUUUAAAACUAGAGCUGGAUGAAGCCUUCGUCUCCAUGAUAGUGAAGGACACGCAGCCCUUCAGUAUUGUGGAUGAUGUUGGAUUCAGAGAAUUUGUGUCCAAACUGGAUCCUAAUUAUGUUCUCCCUACAAGGUAGGCUCUGAAGGCCAUGGUGGAGGCUGAGUAUGAGUCAGCUAAGGAGAAGGCUAUGGCUAAAGCAUUCAACAUUGUUGGAGGGUGCCUUUAUUUGCUGUCUCCCUACUAUAAUGCCACUGUAGAGCUGUCGGCAGAGGAAAAUGUGUCUGCCUCCAAAGUUGUCCCCCUCGUGAAGAUGUUGGAGCACACCCUUCAGGAGGAACUAACAAAGCCGGCACCUGCAGCAGCAUUGGAAAUGGGAGACCAGCUCAUCAGGCAACUCCGGGAGAAGCUGUACACUUUGCAGUCCAUGAGCAUCAUGUCUCUUGCGACCCUCCUGGACAACCGAUUUAAAGUAAUAGGAUUUUUCAGCCAAACAAAAGCC
ensembl:lncRNA